rnacentral:misc_RNA from 1 species
UACGGAGGGUGCAAGCGUUAUUCGGAAUUACUGGGCGUAAAGCGCACGCAGGCGGUCUGUCAAGUCGGAUGUGGAAUCCCCCGGCUCAACCUGGGAACUGCAUUCGAAACUGGCAGGCUAGAGUCUUGUAGAGGGGGGUAGAAUUCCAGGUGUAGCGGUGAAAUGCGUAGAGAUCUGGAGGAAUACCGGUGGCGAAGGCGGCCCUCUGGACAAAGACUGACGCUGAGGCGCGAAAGCGUGGGGAGCGAACAGG